AGAGGGUGCAAGCGUUKUUCGGAAUUAUUGGGCGUAAAGCGCGUGUAGGCGGCUUUGCAAGUCGGGUGUGAAAUCCCUCAGCUUAACUGAGGAAGUGCGCCCGAAACUGCCGAGCUUGAGUACCGGAGAGGGUGGCGGAAUUCCCCAAGUAGAGGUGAAAUUCGUAGAUAUGGGGAGGAACACCGGUGGCGAAGGCGGCCACCUGGACGGAUACUGACGCUGAGACGCGAAAGCGUGGGGAGCAAACAGGAUUAGAUACCCUGGUAGUCCACGCCGUAAACGAUGAGAACUAGGUGUCGUGGGUGUUGACCCCCGCGGUGCCGUAGCUAACGCAUUAAGUUCUCCGCCUGGGAAGUACGGCCGCAARRCUA
rnacentral:rRNA from 1 species